rnacentral:rRNA from 1 species
GACGAACGCUGGCGGCGUGCCUAAUACAUGCAAGUAGAACGCUGAAGGAGGAGCUUGCUUCUCCGGAUGAGUUGCGAACGGGUGAGUAACGCGUAGGUAACCUGCCUGGUAGCGGGGGAUAACUAUUGGAAACGAUAGCUAAUACCGCAUAAGAGUAGAUGUUGCAUGACAUUUGCUUAAAAGGUGCAAUUGCAUCACUACCAGAUGGACCUGCGUUGUAUUAGCUAGUUGGUGGGGUAACGGCUUACCAAGGCGACGAUACAUAGCCGACCUGAGAGGGUGAUCGGCCACACUGGGACUGAGACACGGCCCAGACUCCUACGGGAGGCAGCAGUAGGGAAUCUUCGGCAAUGGACGGAAGUCUGACCGAGCAACGCCGCGUGAGUGAAGAAGGGUUUCGGAUCGUAAAGCUCGGUUGUAAGAGAAGAACGAGUGUGAGAGUGGAAAGUUCACACUGUGACGGUAUCUUACCAGAAAGGGACGGCUAACUACGUG